UACGAAGGGGGCUAGCGUUGCUCGGAAUUACUGGGCGUAAAGCGCACGUAGGCGGCUUCUUAAGUCGGAGGUGAAAUCCUGGAGCUCAACUCCAGAACUGCCUUCGAUACUGGGAGCUCGAGUCCGGGAGAGGUGAGUGGAACUGCGAGUGUAGAGGUGAAAUUCGUAGAUAUUCGCAAGAACACCAGUGGCGAAGGCGGCUCACUGGCCCGGUACUGACGCUGAGGUGCGAAAGCGUGGGGAGCAAACAGGG
rnacentral:rRNA from 1 species